rnacentral:rRNA from 1 species
AUUGAACGCUGGCGGCAGGCUUAACACAUGCAAGUCGAGCGGAGUGAUGGUGCUUGCACUAUCACUUAGCGGCGGACGGGUGAGUAAUGCUUAGGAAUCUGCCUAUUAGUGGGGGACAACAUCUCGAAAGGGAUGCUAAUACCGCAUACGUCCUACGGGAGAAAGCAGGGGAUCACUUGUGACCUUGCGCUAAUAGAUGAGCCUAAGUCGGAUUAGCUAGUUGGUGGGGUAAAGGCCUACCAAGGCGACGAUCUGUAGCGGGUCUGAGAGGAUGAUCCGCCACACUGGGACUGAGACACGGCCCAGACUCCUACGGGAGGCAGCAGUGGGGAAUAUUGGACAAUGGGGGGAACCCUGAUCCAGCCAUGCCGCGUGUGUGAAGAAGGCCUUAUGGUUGUAAAGCACUUUAAGCGAGGAGGAGGCUCUUUUGGUUAAUACCCAAGAUGAGCGGACGUUACUCGCAGAAUAAGCACCGGCUAACUCUGUGCCAGCCGCCGCAGUAA